UCUGUCAGCUGGCGGAGGGAGGGGGUAAUAGGUGGGGGGCGAUGGUGAAUGGGAAGUCCGGGGCUUAGAGGUGGCGCAGGCGGUGAAGUAAGUUAGAGGUGAAAUCCCCGGGGGCAACCUGGGAACUGCGUUUGUGAGUGCAGAACUAGGGUACGGCAGAUGGAGGUGGAAUUCAACGUGUAGCAGUGAAAGGCGUAGAGAUGUGGAGGAACACCGAUGGCGAAGGCAGCCUCCUGGGCCAGUACUGACGCUCAUGCACGAAAGCGUGGGGAGCAAACAGGAUUAGAUACCCCAGUAGUC
rnacentral:rRNA from 1 species